AAAUGCAAAAAAAGGUAAGCCCAAUGCGGGGCUCGAACCCGCGACAACCAGAUUAAGAGUCUGGUGCUCUACCGACUGAGCUAACCGGGCGGCGAUAGGAACCGAGGCGC
rnacentral:tRNA from 1 species